UGGAAGCUCCGGAUCCAGCUGUACCUGGGCCAUUGCCACAUGGCAGAAUCAGAGCUGGGCCUGCAACCCAAGCGUCUGAUUGGGCCAGGCUGCUCCCUGUCCAAUCCUGCCCCACACAUCUGGAUCAGGCUGGACUGCUCCCCAUCCCCCACAUAUCUAGAUCUGGGCCACUCUGCUCCUUCCCCACCACAAGUGUCCAAAUCAGGGCUGCUCCGCUCCCAUCUCCACCCUUUCCCCCCUGAGUGUCUGGAUGGGGACCAGGCUGCUCCCUGCUCCCAUCAGGGUCAGGCUGCACCCCUCCCCUCCAUGCUGGCCCUGUGUACCAAGGCCUAUGACUGGAUCCAGCCUGUGGAUGGACCUGGCACCACCCAUCCAGCCCAUGGGGCUAAAAGGUUGGGCACCGCUGAUUUAAACUAUUGCUCUAAUGUCCAAGCUCCUCCCAGGGGAGGGCCCUAAACUUCUGGCACAAUAGAGAGCCUUUAUGGACACUGCAUUUGCCUUUCGUGGUCUGCAGAUAACAAGAGGACUCUGGCCUCUGGAAUCUCCCAGGUGGCGUAAGGAGAAAGCGAAUGCAGGACCCUCCCAUUGCUUUCAGUGAAACCGAAAAUAACUCAUAGCCAAGCCUUAGGAAACUGGAACUUGUCUUGAAGCCAGCAGCAGGGCUCGGCUUUGCUGUGGGCUGGUUCCAGUGCAGCACAAAUACCAGUAGUUAUUUAUCAAAGAGGAAGAGCCCUGCUGGGAGGUAGGCAGAUCCAGCUGUAAAGGCACCUGGAGACUGUACGUUAAGAAGUGACAUCAUCAAAUGUAGAGGCAGGAUUGCUAACCUCCCACUGCAGGAGCUGAAGGGGCAGAGAGAAGGCAGGAAGCUUCUCCAUGGAGGCUUCGAAGAAGGACCCCGAGGAGCAAGGCGGUGGCAAAAGAGUGGAAGACAUUGUCUCUGAAUUUUUGGAGGCUGAAGGAGAGGCAGAAAAGCUUUGUUGUCACUACAAGGAGGGGAUCCAGGCUGUUCAGAUGAGCCUGGAGUCCCUCUGAAAGAAAGUCAUGGGGCAGUUCAAGGAGAUGCACAACAUCCUCUAUGCUGAGGAGCAGUCAGUGAUGGCCAAGAUUAGCCAAGAGGAAGAGCAGGUAGUUGGAGGUCUGGAGAACAGGCUGAAGAAGAUCACUGAGAGAGCAGCCAAUGUUUUGGAGAUAGUGGAUUACCUGGGCCAGGUGAGAGAGUGUGAUGAGCACAUUGCAGAUGCGGCAGGGAGCCAAGUAGACCAGUUCAAGGCAGAGCUGAAGGAGCACACGGAGGAACUGAGUCUCAGCAAGCCAGCAGGCCUUUGCAGCCUUCCUCUGAUGUAUGCCAUCUGCAGGAGGAUGCUGCGACAGGCUAUGCAGUCUGCAUUGGAGAGCCUCACCCUGGAUCCACACACAGCCCAUGCCCAUCUGGAUCUCUCUGAAGACUUAAAAGCAGUGAAGCUGGGACAUCGCUCCCAGACCAUUCCCAAGGAUCCUCAGCGCUUCCAUCCCUGUCUGUAUGUACUCUGCUCCCAAGGCUUCUGCUCGGGCAGGCACUACUGGGAGGUGAGUGUUGGGAACAAAAGCAACUGGGUAGUUGGGGUAGCCAGCCACAGAGUCAACCGCCAGGCGACAGAAGAUCUGAUCCCGGAAAAUGGCUACUGGGCCCUUCGGAAGCUGCCAGGUGACCAUUACUAUGCCCUCUCCUCACCCCCAGACCGCCUGACCCUUGACACCAGGCCCAGGAGGGUGGGCGUUUGCCUGGAUUAUGAGUGUGGCAGGGUUGGGUUUUAUGAUGCCCAUGGCAUGGCUAAGAUCUGCCUGCUCCAGGGCCACUUCCAGGGCAUGCUCUACCCUUUCCUGUGCCCUGGGUUGGUGCUGUCUGAACAGGACCAUGAACCUCUGCGGCUGUGUGACUGAAGCAAAGGGAGGCACGUCUGGAGACCCCUGCCCAACUGAGUCCCUUUUCUGCUCUUUGAGGAGCAAACUUGGGUCUGGGCCUGCAGCGAAUAAGACUCUUGACUAAAUGAAUGCAAACAGCAAUGCUCAGACUACAAGCGGCCCCUCACCUUAUCCCUCUGCAGCUCUUGGCGAAGAGAUGUUAUGCCGGGGGUUCGGUUCCCUGCACACGACAGGUCUGUCAUUCCUGCACUUGUGACUAAUACAAGUCUCUUCUCUCAGCCAUGGUGCCAAUUAGACUAACGCACCAGAGCAGUGGUGCCCAACUUUUUUCCCCUUUGUGGCAGAUGGACGGUGCUCAGAGCAUCCGCAGGGCGGAUCUGGCUGCACAGUGGGGAAGCGGGAUGGGCCCAAGCCCAAUACAGCCGUGUUGGGGAAGGAGGGGGUGUGGUCUGGUGUCAAGGGGAUUGAAAAUUUGGCAGUGGGGGAAAGGCAGCAGUAUGACUUGUCACUGCUCCCCUGCCACAAAAUUUCCCAAUCCACGAGGAGCCCCGUGGGCUGGAUGCCACAGCUCCACAGACCGCAUUUGGUCUGAGAGCUAGAGGUUGAGCACCUCUGCACCAAAGCUUUCUCUUUGGCCACAAUUCACCCAGGAGUGCCUAGGAGAUGGCUCUCAGGUUAACACUGCCUGUUCCCAUGACGCCUGAGCCAGGCAGGACUGAGUAUCACAGGUAUAAAUGAAGAGGAGGAACGAACCGAGUCCUGUGUGGCUGGUGGUUUCUAGGGGAAGAAGAUUGUCGUGGAAGAACUGUAUGUUUUGGGGGGGAAAGAUUUUCCAAUGAUGAUACCAUUUCAUGGGUAUGGAAACGCACUGACUUGUUGGUGACUGCUUGGAGGAAAACAUUUUGUGACUCAGAUCUAACGGAGACCACACAGAAACAGGUAUUUGAGGAGGGGGAGCUGAGGGACUCUUCUACAGGGGGAGGAUGAGGGAAUCCUCAGAACACGCCGAACACUUUCUCAGAGCUGGGCAAGCAUCUUUUUGCACACGCAGGAUUCAAGCUACAGCAGAAAGGUCGACGCGGGGGGCAGGGGGACCUCUCUAACCGAAACAACGAGGACUUGUUUGUAGGAGAAAUUGCCCACGGCCCAACUGUGGGGGUUGGGAAAUGAGGCGAGCCCGGCUGAAAAGAGCAGGGCCGGCUUUGGGGUGUGAGGGCCCAAGGGAGCAGGUUUAUGGGGCAUCCGUCUCUCGUCCCUCCUGCCCACGCAGGCGGCCUCCUCGCUCCGUCCUCUGCCCGCGAGGUGCGUGGGUCGGCCUUGCCCCGCGACCCCGCAGGGCGCCGCCCUGGCUCGGCCCGGGGUGGGCGCGGAGGGAGGCGGGACCCCACACAGGGAGGGGUCAGGCCCUCCGGGCCGGGCGAGCGCGGGGCGCAGCAGGAGUGGGCAGAGGCCAGUGGGGCCGGGCGCUGGGUGGCACCAAGGGGCCGGCCCCAUGGGCGAGAGGCCGCCAGGACGGAGGGUGCCCACACCCUCCCAGGCCCGGAGCGACUAGCGAGCCGAGGCCCGGCUGGGCUCAUAGCGCCGCACUGCCCCUCCGAGCCAGCAGGUAGCGCUGAAGCGUGGUGUCGGCUGUGCGCCUGCGCGGCGCUGUGGGGGGCCACAGGGGUAGCUGGAAGUACCCCUGCACGUGACCCGGGAACACGGAAGUGCGAGCGGGGCCAGCCGGCGGCGGCGAAGAUGAGCGGCGGAGCCGAGCCGGUGGCGGUGCCGCCUCCAGCCGCGGGGCGCGGGGUCCGCAUCGUCGUGGAGUACUGUGAGCCCUGUGGGUUUGAGUCGACGUACCAGGAGCUGGCGAGUGCAGUGAAAGAAGAGUACCCAGACAUAGAAAUCGAGUCCAGGCUUGGGGGGAAAGCUGAUUGAAGCAAUAAGAAGAGCCAGGAAUGGAGAACCCUUAGAGAAAAUCACCAACAGUCGUCCUCCAUGUGUCAUCCUGUAGCCUU